GAUGAACGCUGGCGGCGUGCCUAACACAUGCAAGUCGAGCGAUCUUCUUCGGAGAAGAGCGGCGGACGGGUGAGUAACGCGUGGGUAACCUGCCCUGUACACACGGAUAACAUACCGAAAGGUAUGCUAAUACGAGAUAAUAUGCUUUUAUCGCAUGGUAGAAGUAUCAAAGCUCCGGCGGUACAGGAUGGACCCGCGUCUGAUUAGCUAGUUGGUGAGGUAACGGCUCACCAAGGCGACGAUCAGUAGCCGACCUGAGAGGGUGAUCGGCCACAUUGGAACUGAGACACGGUCCAAACUCCUACGGGAGGCAGCAGUGGGGAAUAUUGCACAAUGGGCGAAAGCCUGAUGCAGCAACGCCGCGUGAGCGAUGAAGGCCUUCGGGUCGUAAAGCUCUGUCCUCAAGGAAGAUAAUGACGGUACUUGAGGAGGAAGCCCCGGCUAACUAC
rnacentral:rRNA from 1 species